ACUAUACAUGCAAGUCGAACGCGCAGCGAAAGGUGCUUGCACCUUUCAAGCGAGUGGCGAACGGGUGAGUAACACGUGGAUAACCUGCCUCAAGGCUGGGGAUAACAUUUGGAAACAGAUGCUAAUACCGAAUAAAACUUAGUAUCGCAUGAUACAAAGUUGAAAGGCGCUACGGCGUCACCUAGAGAUGGGUCCGCGGUGCAUUAGUUAGUUGGUGGGGUAAAGGCCUACCAAGACAAUGAUGCAUAGCCGAGUUGAGAGACUGAUCGGCCACAUUGGGACUGAGACACGGCCCAAACUCCUACGGGAGGCUGCAGUAGGGAAUCUUCCACAAUGGGCGAAAGCCUGAUGGAGCAACGCCGCGUGUGUGAUGAAGGCUUUAGGGUCGUAAAGCACUGUUGUAUGGGAAGAAAUGCUAGAAUAGGGAAUGAUUCUAGUUCGACGGUACCAUACCAGAAAGGGACGGCUAAAUACGUGCCAGCAGCCGCGGUAAUACGUAUGUCCCGAGCGUUAUCCGGAUUUAUUGGGCGUAAAGCGAGCGCAGACGGUUGAUUAAGUCUGAUGUGAAAGCCCGGAGCUCAACUCCGGAAUGGCAUUGGAAACUGGUUAACUUGAGUGUUGUAGAGGUAAGUGGAACUCCAUGUGUAGCGGUGGAAUGCGUAGAUAUAUGGAAGAACACCAGUGGCGAAGGCGGCUUACUGGACAACAACUGACGUUGAGGCUCGAAAGUGUGGGUAGCAAACAGGAUUAGAUACCCUGGUAGUCCACACCGUAAACGAUGAAUACUAGGUGUUAGGAGGUUUCCGCCUCUUAGUGCCGAAGCUAACGCAUUAAGUAUUCCGCCUGGGGAGUACGACCGCAAGGUUGAAACUCAAGGAAU
rnacentral:rRNA from 1 species